rnacentral:snRNA from 1 species
ACUUCUUUUCAUAAAGCAAGAUCCUGUUCUUAUCAGUUUAAUAUCUGAUACGUCCUCUAUCUGAGGACAAUAUAUUAAAUGCAUUUUUGGGAUGAGGAGAUGAAAUAGGAGCUUGCUCCAUCCACUCCAUGCAUCAACCUGGAAUUGCAGUACUUCCAGGAAUGGUGCAACUCCU